AGGAACCUUCAUGGACAAGGCUUCAGACAAGGCCUGAAGCUCCACUUAGCAGCCAAGUCAGGGCUUCAGGGCAAGAUUUGUACUCUAGACAUGCCAUCUGCUUCCCACAUCCAAGUCACCUUAGCAAGCCUUCCAUCCUCUCCGCGGGCAGUCUUCUGUGACAGCUUCGUGACAGCUUCUCACCAGUCUCUGUCCACACCUAAGAUCUAUGCCCCGACAUCCCACUCAUCCCCAACUGUCCUGCAUAGACAUUGGCCCGACACAGAAGCUGCCACUAUGGGCCUCACAGCUAGGAGACUGAGUCGGAGAGGCCCAGAGUGGGGAGGCAGGUGCUGGGAGAAACUGACCACAGGAGAGAGGCAAUCCCUUCCCCAUGGGGCGUUACCUCUGGUCAAGCCCUGAAGAAUGCCCUGAAGGCAGAGCAAACAAGUAGAGUGG